GGCACACACUCCCUGUUGCAUCCUUAGGGCGGGCUCUGGCGACACUUGCGUUGUCUCCAUGAAGGAAACUUGCGGUCUGUCAGGACACGUGUGCACCGUCGUUUUGGCUGCCUCCCCCUUCAGCACAGUCACUCUGGGGAGAUGUUUCCCAGGAAAGCCACGAGAGCCCGUUUCGAAGAUGGGCUGUAAGAGAUAAGGUGUAAGAGGAAAACCUGAGAGAUGGAAGAGAGAACUGUCCAAUUGGAAAGACAAGGCAUUUCACAGGAGAGAGGAAAGAAGAAGAAAUUCCAAAGGUAGUCUCAAGAGCCAGGGGGGGAGGAUCCUGUAUUUCUGCAGCUCGGUGUUCCUAGGAAGGACUCUGAUGAUGAAAAAAUGCUUGAUACUGAGCACCUCUUACAAGUUCCUGUGUGCCCACCAAACCUGCUGAGGACUACUGAAUGCUUCAAAAGAAAGACAGGACACUCCAAGCCUUGGGCAAAAUCUUUGCUGCAAAUUUAAUGGAUGGCUGUUAUUGCAACUACAUUGUGUCUCCAAUCUCAGCUGCUAGAGUAGGGGUGCAGACACCAGAGCCAAGAAAAAACAGACAAGGAGUGGAGUUUCCAGUUCAGGAGGUGAGACCAUUAAGAAGAGACUUUGCCAAGCCCAGUCAUAAUCUACAUCUCCUUUAAACUACACAGUAGAGAAGAGCCAGGCUGUCUACUGAACUCUGAUUUUGGGGGCUUCUAGUUAAAAUGGUCGUUUGCCUGGGGCUAGGGUCAUAAGAGUCAGAAUGGGAGGCAAAUUAGGCUUAAAAUCAUGUUUUCACCAGUGUUUAAUAAAAAAUGUGAAUGUUCUCUCAGAGGAUGUUUGUAACUCAUCAGUUAGCCUAGCUUGAAACUAUGAAUGAUAAAUAAUUUAGUAGAUAUGCUACAACAAGGAUUAUAAACAUGCAAAGUGAUAUAAACAGUGCCUGAUAUAGGGAAACACUCAGAUAAGCACUGCCUUUGAUUUUGGAAGCUGAGAUUUUUUUAAAUCCUCAUGCUUCUACAAAGGCAUAAACCCCUGCUAUGUUCAAUGUCUGCCAGUACCAUACUGUGGUUUCUUAAAUAAAGAAAUAACAACAAAGAUGAAGGACUGCUGAAGCUUUGCUCAGUAAAAACCAAUUAUAAACCAAGAAAACACAAAGAAAUUAAUCUAUAAGCUUUUUUUUUUCUUCUGAUCUAAGACUGCUGUAACU